rnacentral:rRNA from 1 species
UACGUAGGGUGCAAGCGUUAAUCGGAAUUACUGGGCGUAAAGCGUGCGCAGGCGGUUAUGCAAGACAGAUGUGAAAUCCCCGGGCUCAACCUGGGAACUGCAUUUGUGACUGCAUGGCUAGAGUACGGUAGAGGGGGAUGGAAUUCCGCGUGUAGCAGUGAAAUGCGUAGAUACGCGGAGGAACACCGAUGGCGAAGGCAAUCCCCUGGACCUGUACUGACGCUCAUGCACGAAAGCGUGGGGAGCAAACAGG